CCGGUUGCACAAAAGUCAAAUUAAUCGGCCAUCAUAUGAUGGUCCGUCAAAAAUUGAUGGCUUGUUAAUUUUGAUUGCGUUGCACAAAACAAUUUGCUCAUGUUUUAAUCGUUCAUCAUAUGAUGCUCCGUUAAUCAUCCAUUAGCAAAAAACCAAUUUGGCAACAAGGCCUUACGUCUUGAAUUUGUCAUUUGAUAUAUAUUUGACAGCCUGAUUUUUUUAUUAAUAUUGUGUUUUCUCGGACUUCGGGUUUUACUCAGUGCUUUAUUUGACGAUUUAACUUGUGUUCUUUCGUCUUCAAAAAGUUCUGUUUGGUGUAGACAAUCUAUGAUGCCAAAAGUGGUGUUUGUGGCCUUGUGUUGAUUUGUUAAUUCUAGUGAUAUGAAUUUAUGGAAAAUUUCAAGACUUAAAGGGUGCAAGAAGCAAAAUUUGCGUUGUGAAAUUUCGACGUGUUCGCAAACUCUCUAGUUUUCUUUUUUCGGGGGUUUUUGCCUUGUCACUAAGUGCCAAGGGGGUACCAAGAAGCGAUUCCUGAAGGCAAAACAAGGGAAUAGCCCUAAGGGUAGAUGAAGUUAGGUCGUAAAGGAAUCUACACGUGUUUAUUACCAAAAUCAAUAAACCUUGAUUUGAACAUUGGGGUUUUAUUUCAACUAAAACUAAUAAAGUUUUUGCAUAUCUUUUUUUGUUAAGUUAUUCGAACUGUUGGACAAUGCUGUUUAAAAGUGAAUCAUGCGCAUUAGCACAUUGGGAAGCAAUAAAGUGGAUAUUAUGUUAUUGGUUAAAAAAUGAGUUAUUCCUCGAAUUGUUGCAUUGAACAAACGAUACAAAUUCAUGUGUGAACGAGUUGUGUUGUGACUUUCUGUGAUAACCCUACAAAUGUUCUACAAAAGACAAAAAACCUAAAACGCAAAAAAAAUUGAAAUUGUGUUUGUGCACUGAGAGAUUUGAUUAGUUGCGUUUUGGUGCAAUUUUUACUCUGGUUUUUAUUUAAACUAAAGCGCUUUUUACACUCAUGGUUAACCAACAUCUCAAACAGAUCCUCAAGAUCUCUGAUUUUCUGCACAGGCCUCUCAGACACUUCACUCAUUUGCACAUAACCAUUCUCAUCCUAUAAAAUAAAUUCGAGGUUUUCUUCUUUAAUUCUUGUUAUUGUCUUACCUCUUAGGGAAUGGUUCAGUUUAGUUAAUGAAAUUUUAUCAAAAACACCUUAAAUUCUCAAACAACAAGUGUUAAAGAAGGUUAAUCAGAGAUUAAUCGCCCGUCGUUCGGCCAUCAAAUUGAUGAUUCGUUAAUCACUGAUUAACUAUGACAUUUGCCUUGAUUUGCGUUUGUGCAACGGAAAACGGAGUUAAUCAACGAUUAAUUGACAAUUAUCUUUGACGUUCAUCAAAUAUUUGAUGAGAGAUUAAUCAGCCGUCAACGGUGUUUUGUGUUGCACAAAAUUUUUGAUGGACGAUUAACGCUUUGUUAAUUGUCAAUUAUCUUUUGUGCAACCGGGCAUAAGUGUUUUCGUAUGAGUGUUAUUCAAAUUUUUUUUUGUUGGAACAUUUUAAUUUAAAACACGUUGCUGUGGGAAGCCGUGUUUUAAAAUAAUGUUUUUCUACUUCGGUUUCGUACUGAGGUCAUUACGAUACGCUAUUUGCGUAUCGUAAUAUCUAGAGUUCCUAUAUUGGGAGAUUUGGGACACUGAAUGUCAAUUUUCGAAAUUUUGUUUCAUAUACGUCCGCUGGAAUGUGUAAAAAACAAAUUGGGAUGGAAAUCAGUGGUGUUACACUUCAAAUUUGGCGAAAAGUCAAAUAAAUUUGUCAAAAAAUGUUUCCCUUUUUCGUCGACUAACUGCGUUUAGAAAUGGUUUAGACUAGCAGUCGUCGUCAAUUCACUGUUUUUCUUGAUAUGAACUUCAAAUUUUAAAAGAGAUUUUUUUAAAUGGUAAUCAUCGACGAAAGAGAGAAAAAUUCAACCUUUCCUGCCAAGUUUUAUGUUUAUUAUUAAAAAGCAUUUGGAAAAGUGGAUUGUCUAAACAAUGUUAUGUACAAAAUCUAUGAUAUUUUAGGAAUCUAUCUAUGCGUUUACAAAAUACGUAGGUACUUGAACCCAAAAUUGGGUCUAAUUUUUAGGAAAGUUGAACCUGUUGCUGUUUGGUCGCCUUUAGCUUCUACGUGAACUUUAGGUUCUGUUUCAAAUUAUAAUGUAAUUGGAAUUCACGAUUUUGUUACGUUUUUCACACGAGAAGACCUUCAAUAUAAUUUUUUUGGGAAAUUUAAAAAGACGACGGAAAAUAUGAUGGGUUCUUGAUGACCAAUUUUUGGGACGAGAUGUUUAACUUAAAAUUGUUACCGGAAGAAAGGCAUUUUUAGCAUUGAA